UGGGGAAUAUUGGACAAUGGGCGAAAGCCUGAUCCAGCCAUGCCGCGUGUGUGAAGAAGGUCUUCGGAUUGUAAAGCACUUUAAGUUGGGAGGAAGGGCAGUAAGCGAAUACCUUGCUGUUUUGACGUUACCGACAGAAUAAGCACCGGCUAACUCUGUGCCAGCAGCCGCGGUAAUACAGAGGGUGCAAGCGUUAAUCGGAAUUACUGGGCGUAAAGCGCGCGUAGGUGGUUCGUUAAGUUGAAUGUGAAAGCCCCGGGCUCAAACUGGGAACUGCAUCCAAAACUGGCGAGCUAGAGGAGGGCAGAGGGUGGUGGAAUUUCCUGUGUAGCGGUGAAAUGCGUAGAUAUAGGAAGGAACACCAGUGGCGAAGGCGACCACCUGGGCUCAUACUGACACUGAGGUGCGAAAGCGUGGGGAGCAAACAGG
rnacentral:rRNA from 1 species